UACGUAGGGGGCAAGCGUUGUUCGGAAUUACUGGGCGUAAAGGGCGCGUAGGCGGCGUGACAAGUCACUUGUGAAAUCUCCGGGCUUAACUCGGAACGGUCAAGUGAUACUGUCGUGCUAGAGUACAGAAGGGGCAACUGGAAUUCUCGGUGUAGCGGUGAAAUGCGUAGAUAUCGAGAGGAACACCUGCGGCGAAGGCGGGUUGCUGGGCUGAUACUGACGCUGAGGCGCGAAAGCCAGGGGAGCGAACGGG
rnacentral:rRNA from 1 species